rnacentral:rRNA from 1 species
GAUUAACGCUGGCGGCGUGCAUAACACAUGCAAGUCGAACGAUGAAUCUUAGUAGACUUCUUCGGAAAGACACUAAGCGGAUUAGUGGCGAACGGGUGAGUAACGCGUGAGUAACCUGCCUUACACAAGGGGAUAGCCUUUGGAAACGAAGAAUAAUACCCUAUAAAACCAUAAAAGCACAUGCUAGAAUGGUCAAAGUGAUAGCGGUGUAAGAUGGACUUGCGUCUGAUUAGCUAGUUGGUGAGAUAAAAGCUCACCAAGGCAACGAUCAGUAGCCGGCUUGAGAGAGUGUACGGCCACAUUGGGACUGAGACACGGCCCAGACUCCUACGGGAGGCAGCAGUGGGGAAUUUUGCACAAUGGGGGAAACCCUGAUGCAGCGACGCCGCGUGAUUUAGAAGGCCUUCGGGUUGUAAAAAUCUUUUGUAUAGGAAGAAAAUGACAGUACUAUACGAAUAAGGUCCGGCUAAUUACGUG